UACGGGGGGUGCGAGCGUUGUCCGGAAUCAUUGGGCGUAAAGGGCGCGUAGGUGGUUUGAUAAGGGUGUGGUGAAAGUCCGGAGCUCAACUCCGGAUCUGCCGUGCCGACUGUCAAACUCGAGGGCUGUAGAGGCAGACGGAAUUCCGGGUGUAGCGGUGGAAUGCGUAGAGAUCCGGAGGAAGACCGGUGGCGAAGGCGGUCUGCUGGGCAGUUUCUGACACUGAGGCGCGACAGCGUGGGGAGCAAACAGG
rnacentral:rRNA from 1 species